GAUGAAGAACGUAGUGAAAUGCGAUAAGUAAUGUGAAUUGCAGAAUUCAGUGAAUCAUCGAAUCUUUGAACGCACAUUGCGCCCUUUGGUAUUCCUUAGGGCAUGCCUGUUCGAGCGUCAUUUAAACCUUCAAGCUCAGCUUGGUGUUGGGUGACUGUCCGCUUCACCGCGGACUCGCCUCAAAAUUAUUGGCGGCCGGUACAUUGGCUUCGAGCGCAGCAGAAACGCGAACUCGGGCCCGUCGUAUUGGCUCCCAGAAGCUAUCUUCACAAUUUUGACCUCGGAUCAGGUAGGGAUACCCGCUGAACUUAAGCAUAUCAAUAAGCGGAGGA
rnacentral:misc_RNA from 1 species